GGUUAAGUGACUAAGCGUACACGGUGGAUGCCUUGGCAGUCAGAGGCGAUGAAAGACGUAGUAACUUGCGAUAAGCCCAGAUUAGGUAGUAACAACCAUUUGAGUCUGGGAUUUCUGAAUGGGGAAACCCACGUGCAUAAGCACGUAUCCUUACCUGAAUACAUAGGGUAAGGAGGCGAACCGGGGGAACUGAAACAUCUAAGUACCCCGAGGAAAAGAAAUCAACCGAGAUUCCGAAAGUAGCGGCGAGCGAAAUUGGACUAGCCCUUAAGCUUUACACGCGUUAGACGAAAGGUCUGGAAAGUCCGACGAUACAGGGUGAUAGUCCCGUAGUUGACGACGUGUGUUCAGUGAAAUCGAGUAGGGCGGGACACGUGAUAUCCUGUCUGAAUAUGGGGGGACCAUCCUCCAAGGCUAAAUACUACUGACUGACCGAUAGUGAACCAGUACCGUGAGGGAAAGGCGAAAAGAACCCCUGUGAGGGGAGUGAAAUAGAACCUGAAACCGUGUACGUACAAGCAGUAGGAGCAGGCUUUGUCCUGUGACUGCGUACCUUUUGUAUAAUGGGUCAGCGACUUAUAUUCAGUGGCAAGGUUAACCAUCUAGGGGAGCCGUAGGGAAACCGAGUCUUAACUGGGCGUUCAGUCUCUGGAUAUAGACCCGAAACCAGGUGAUCUAGCCAUGGGCAGGUUGAAGGUUGAGUAACAUCAACUGGAGGACCGAACCGACUAAUGUUGAAAAAUUAGCGGAUGACUUGUGGCUAGGGGUGAAAGGCCAAUCAAACCUGGAGAUAGCUGGUUCUCCCCGAAAGCUAUUUAGGUAGCGCCUCGGACGAAUACUACUGGGGGUAGAGCACUGUUAAGGCUAGGGGGUCAUCCCGACUUACCAACCCUUUGCAAACUCCGAAUACCAGUAAGUACUAUCCGGGAGACACACGGCGGGUGCUAACGUCCGUCGUGGAGAGGGAAACAACCCAGACCGCCAGCUAAGGUCCCAAAUUACUACUAAGUGGGAAACGAUGUGGGAAGGCUCAGACAGCCAGGAUGUUGGCUUAGAAGCAGCCAUCAUUUAAAGAAAGCGUAAUAGCUCACUGGUCGAGUCGGCCUGCGCGGAAGAUGUAACGGGGCUAAGUAGUAAACCGAAGCUGCGGCAAUAUACUUUUGUAUAUUGGGUAGGGGAGCGUUCUGUAAGCGGUUGAAGGUGUGUGGUAACGCAUGCUGGACGUAUCAGAAGUGCGAAUGCUGACAUGAGUAACGAUAAAGGGGGUGAAAAACCUCCUCGCCGGAAGACCAAGGGUUCCUGUCCAACGUUAAUCGGGGCAGGGUAAGUCGACCCCUAAGGCGAGGCCGAAAGGCGUAGUCGAUGGGAAACGGGUUAAUAUUCCCGUACUUCUUACAAUUGCGAUGGGGGGACGGAGAAGGCUAGGUGGGCCUGGCGACGGUUGUCCAGGUUCAAGUGCGUAGGCUUAAGAGUUAGGUAAAUCCGGCUCUUUUUAAGGCUGAGACACGACGUCGAGCACCUACGGGUGUGAAGUCAUUGAUGCCAUGCUUCCAGGAAAAGCCUCUAAGCUUCAGAUUGUAAGGAAUCGUACCCCAAACCGACACAGGUGGUCGGGUAGAGAAUACCAAGGCGCUUGAGAGAACUCGGGUGAAGGAACUAGGCAAAAUGGUACCGUAACUUCGGGAGAAGGUACGCUCUCGACGGUGAAGUCCCUCGCGGAUGGAGCUAUUGAGAGUCGCAGAUACCAGGUGGCUGCAACUGUUUAUUAAAAACACAGCACUGUGCAAAAUCGUAAGAUGACGUAUACGGUGUGACGCCUGCCCGGUGCCGGAAGGUUAAUUGAUGGGGUUAGACUUCGGUCGAAGCUCUUGAUCGAAGCCCCGGUAAACGGCGGCCGUAACUAUAACGGUCCUAAGGUAGCGAAAUUCCUUGUCGGGUAAGUUCCGACCUGCACGAAUGGCGUAAUGAUGGCCACGCUGUCUCCACCCGAGACUCAGUGAAAUUGAAAUCGCUGUGAAGAUGCAGUGUACCCGCGGCUAGACGGAAAGACCCCGUGAACCUUUACUACAGCUUGGCACUGAACAUUGACCCUACAUGUGUAGGAUAGGUGGGAGGCUUUGAAGCACGUACGCCAGUAUGUGUGGAGCCGUCCUUGAAAUACCACCCUUGUAGUGUUGAUGUUCUAACGUCGACCCCUUAUCGGGGUUGCGGACAGUGCCUGGUGGGUAGUUUGACUGGGGCGGUCUCCUCCCAAAGAGUAACGGAGGAGCACGAAGGUGGGCUAAUCACGGUUGGACAUCGUGAGGUUAGUGCAAUGGCAUAAGCCCGCUUGACUGCGAGAAUGACAAUUCGAGCAGGUGCGAAAGCAGGUCAUAGUGAUCCGGUGGUUCUGAAUGGAAGGGCCAUCGCUCAACGGAUAAAAGGUACUCCGGGGAUAACAGGCUGAUACCGCCCAAGAGUUCAUAUCGACGGCGGUGUUUGGCACCUCGAUGUCGGCUCAUCACAUCCUGGGGCUGAAGUCGGUCCCAAGGGUAUGGCUGUUCGCCAUUUAAAGUGGUACGCGAGCUGGGUUUAGAACGUCGUGAGACAGUUCGGUCCCUAUCUGCCGUGGGCGUUGGAAGAUUGAAGGGGGCUGCUCCUAGUACGAGAGGACCGGAGUGGACGAACCUCUGGUGUUCGGGUUGUGUCGCCAGACGCAUUGCCCGGUAGCUAAGUUCGGAAUCGAUAACCGCUGAAAGCAUCUAAGCGGGAAGCGAGCCCUGAGAUGAGUCUUCCCUGAUACUUUAAGUAUCCUAAAGGGUUGUCGGAGACUACGACGUUGAUAGGUCAGGUGUGUAAGUGCUGUGAGGCAUUGAGCUAACUGAUACUAAUUGCCCGUGAGGCUUAACCAU
rnacentral:rRNA from 1 species